GACGAACGCUGGCGGCGUGCCUAAUACAUGCAAGUCGAGCGGACCGAUGGGAGCUUGCUCCUUUAGGUUAGCGGCGGACGGGUGAGUAACACGUGGGCAACCUGCCCUGCAGACUGGGAUAACUUCGGGAAACCGGAGCUAAUACCGGAUAAUUUCUUUCCUCUCCUGAAGAGAGAAUGAAAGGCGGAGCAAUCUGCUACUUGGGGAUGGGCCUGCGGCGCAUUAGCUAGUUGGUGGGGUAACGGCUCACCAAGGCGACGAUGCGUAGCCGACCUGAGAGGGUGAACGGCCACACUGGGACUGAGACACGGACCCAA
rnacentral:rRNA from 1 species